rnacentral:tRNA from 1 species
GCCUGGGUGGCUCAGUCGGUUAAGCAUCUGACUUCAGCUCAGGUCAUGAUCUCGUGGUUCGUGAGUUCAAGCCUUGCAUUGGGCU